rnacentral:rRNA from 1 species
UACGUAGGGGGCUAGCGUUAUCCGGAUUUACUGGGCGUAAAGGGAGCGUAGGCGGACUUUUAAGUGAGAUGUGAAAUACCCGGGCUCAACUUGGGUGCUGCAUUUCAAACUGGAAGUCUAGAGCGCAGGAGAGGAGAAUGGAAUUCCUAGUGUAGCGGUGAAAUGCGUAGAGAUUAGGAAGAACACCAGUGGCGAAGGCGAUUCUCUGGACUGUAACUGACGCUGAGGCUCGAAAGCGUGGGGAGCAAACAGGAUUAGAUACCCGGGUAGUCCCU